GGCUACAAUAACUGUGAGGGCAAAGUA
rnacentral:sRNA from 1 species